UACGUAGGGGGCAAGCGUUGUCCGGAUUUAUUGGGCGUAAAGAGCGUGUAGGCGGCUUGGUAGGUCCGCUGUGAAAACUCGAGGCUCAACCUCGAGAUGUCGGCGGAAACCACUUGGCUAGAGUCCGGAAGAGGAGAGUGGAAUUCCUGGUGUAGCGGUGAAAUGCGCAGACUAUCAGGAGGAACACCGGUGGCGAAGGCGGGUCUCUGGGCCGAUACUGACGCUGAGGAGCGAAAGCGUGGGGAGCGAACAGG
rnacentral:rRNA from 1 species